UCUUCGACCGAGCCGGGGCAGCAGCCAGAUAGAAACGUCCUCUGGUUCCGCCCACCGCGGCGUCCGCCCCAGCGGGCCCGGCCGCCGCGGCGCAAGGAGAGCGGGAGCCGGGGUCGGUCGUUGCUGGGCCCCUGAGGCCGCCCCACGCCGGUGGUGCUGGGAGGGGAAAGACCGCAGCGGGACAGGUCAUGUGUGGACUGAAGAGGACACAAUUUUGACUCGGGCCAUGCAGCAGUAAAAAGGAACUGGACAGGCAUCAACCCACACUGCCUCUUAUACCCUCCCUUGGGAGCAUGAGGGAAGAUUCUGUGAACAUAUCGGUCCACAGGCAUUGCUUUGAAGAAUCUCUGUACUUGGGCACAUGGCACACCUGUGUACCCCUGUGUGGAAUACACAUAGGGAUCAUCACUCAGAGAAGAACUGUUUGAUCUGAUAGCCCAAGAGCAAUUGUUUUGAGCAGUUAUAGAUAAGGUGAAGGCAGCCAUUUGUGACAAAAAAAAAAAACCUUCCACAGUUUUGAAGGCUGCAGAAAUUGCUGAUACGUUGAAUCAAGGGCUCAUGGGAGGCGCAGAUCCACAGGGAAGGGAAAUCCCCUUGUUAAGAAGAGACGGUGUCUGGAAAUAAACCUAACCCCAACUAUGAUAAAAAGAAACCCUAGGGAGCCCAGAUUUUAAAACCCCUUCCCUAAGAGAAGGCAGAUAGUCUGCCAGCACUGUGGGGCUCCCAGCUACAUAAAGUCAGACUGCCCUAAACUGCAAAUACAGUACAGUACUACUAAAAAAAAUAAAAGGGCAAGUUUAAAAAAAAA